UAGGGAAUCUUCCGCAAUGGACGCAAGUCUGAUGCAGCAACGCCGCGUGAGUGAAGAAGGAUUUCGGUUCGUAAAACUCUGUUGUCAGAGAAGAACAGCGCAUAGAGUAACUGUCAUGCGUGUGACGGUAUCUAACCAGACAGCCACGGCCAAUUACGUGUCAGCAGCCGCGGUAAUACGUAGGUGGCAAGCGUUGUCCGGACUUAUUGGGCGUAAAGCGAGCGCAGGCGGUCAAUUGAGUCUGAUGUGAAAGCCCCCGGCUAAACCGGGGAGGGUCAUUGGAAACUGGUUGACUUGAGUGCAGAAGAGGAGAGUGGAAUUCCAUGUGUAGCGGUGAAAUGCGUAGAUAUAUGGAGGAACACCAGUGGCGAAGGCGGCUCUCUGGUCUGUAACUGACGCUGAGGCUCGAAAGCGUGGGUAGCAAACAGG
rnacentral:rRNA from 1 species